CGGGUGCACUGAUCCGGCCGGGCCUUUCCCUCUGUGGAACCCCAUGGCCUUCACUGGCUGUGCGGGGGAAACAGGACUUUUACUGUGAAAAAAUUAGAGUGCUCCAGGCAGGCCUAUGCUCGAAUACAUUAGCAUGGAAUAAUAGAAUAGGACGCGUGGUUCUAUUUUGUUGGUUUCUAGGACCGCCGUAAUGAUUAAUAGGGACAGUCGGGGGCAUCAGUAUUCAAUUGUCAGAGGUGAAAUUCUUGGAUCAAUUGAAGACUAACUACUGCGAAAGCAUUUGCCAAGGAUGUUUUCAUUGAUAAGGAACGAAAGUUAGGGGAUCGAAGACGAUCAGAUACCGUCGUAGUCUUAACUAUAAACUAUGCCGACUAGGGAUCGGACGAUGUUAUUUCUUGACGCGUUCGGCACCUUUCGAGAAAUCAAAGUGCUUGGGCUCCAGGGGGAGUAUGGUCGCAAGGCUGAAACUUAAAGAAAUUGACGGAAGGGCACCACCAGGGGUGGAACCUGCGGCUUAAUUUGACCCAACACGGGGAAACUCACCAGGUCCAGACACAGUGAGGAUUGACAGAUUGAGAGCUCUUUCUUGAUUCUGUGGGUGGUGGUGCAUGGCCGUUCUUAGUUGGUGGAGUGAUUUGUCUGCUUAAUUGCGAUAACGAACGAGACCUUAACCUGCUAAAUAGCCCGUACUGCUCUGGCAGUUCGCCGGCUUCUUAGAGGGACUAUCGG
rnacentral:rRNA from 1 species